rnacentral:rRNA from 1 species
UACGUAGGGGGCAAGCGUUGUCCGGAAUCAUUGGGCGUAAAGAGCGCGUAGGCGGCCCAGUAAGUCCGCUCUGAAAGUCAGGGGCUCAACCCCUGAAUGCGGGUGGAUACUGCUGGGCUAGAGUCCGGAAGAGGCGAGUGGAAUUCCUGGUGUAGCGGUGGAAUGCGCAGAUAUCAGGAGGAACACCGGUGGCGAAGGCGGGUCUCUGGGCCAUUACUGACGCUGAGGAGCGAAAGCGUGGGGAGCGAACAGG